rnacentral:rRNA from 1 species
AUCUAUGUCCAUACCACUCAGAAUGCACCUGAUCUCAUCUGAUCGUGGAAACUAAGUAGGGUUGGGCCUGAUUAGUACUUAGCUGGGAGAGAUGUGAUU